GCGGAUGUGGCGGAACUGGCAGACGCGCUAGACUUAGGAUCUAGUGUCUAUGACGUGCAGGUUCGAUUCCUGUCAUCCGCACCA
rnacentral:tRNA from 1 species